AGGCUGGAGUGUAGUGGUACGAUCUUGGCUUACUGCAACCUCCACCUCCUGGGUUCAAGCGGCCCUGUCAUCUCAGCCUCCUGAGUAGCUGGGGUUACAGGAGCUCCUUUCUGACAACUUGCAAUUGAUCCAACAUUUGAAACCUUAUGCAGGAGCCGGACAGCUUGGUUUUGAAUUAUAAUCUUACAAAUUACUGGCUGUGUGUUAAAUCUUUAAAUUACUGGCUGUGUGACUUUGUGUAAGUACCUUCACUUCUCUGUGCCUUAGUUUAUGUUAUGUAAAAGGUAUGAUAAUAGUAUCUAUCUUGGAAUUUAGUUUUUAAAUAUAAAAUUUAUAUAUCUACAACAGCUGAAUAAGUGUUAUCUAUCUUUAUUACCAUUGCAAUUAUUAUUAUAAUUAUUUGUAUAUGUCGGGCUCAUAAAGCUCUUAGCUUUGCAAAACUGUCUGAGAAAGUUUGCUUUUCUUUGCAUUCAUUGGGAAAUUAACUUUUCUACACAAUAAUGUUUUUAAGGCAUGGACCUGUAAAAUGUUUAAUUGGUGUGGCUUCAAAGUAUAGAAAUUGUAAAGUAGGAAAUAAUUAUACACAACUAUCAAACCAAUAAUAAAGGUCAAUAAAUAUUCAAACAGUAUUAAUAUAAUUUUCUUUUGAUCCUGUUCUUUAUUUUCUUUAACUCUUCUCCAGAUGAAGAAGAAAAUGCUUUGUCAAGAAAUUCUUUUUUGGACUGAAUUCAUUGUUGCAAAAGAUAGUUAUUUUGGAAAGAAAUUGCUUUAACAGUUUCUCCUGCUACACUAUGACUUGUAUGAAUACAUCCAUAGGCAUAGCGAUAGAAUAAUGAACAGAAAAAUUAAGAAGAACCUGAAAUUAAUAAAUACCUAGGUAUUUGUCAGGUGAGUUAUGGAUGUUGGCAGUUGAUGGAUUAUGUUACAAAGCACAUAAAUGCUGUAUUUGCGUUAGUGUACCAUUUAGCAGCCAUACUCCAGCAGAGUCCACAAGUAUAUGAGCAUGAAGUCCCUGAAGACAUUGGUAAUUGAUUACAAUCAAUCUGUAAAUGAUAUUUAGAUGAUCUUUAUGAGUUGCUUUCCUCUUCUCAUCUUUCUUGGUGUAUCGGUGAAGACUCUAAAUGAUUGAAUUGAAUGACUUUAAUUACAUUACUCAACGACUUUAAAACAAAUUUAGUUUUCAGUAAAAAUAAAUGUGUAUUUGUCUUGAUUCUGAACCCCUUACCUCUAAAGAAAUAUGCCUCAAAACACCAUAUUCUAAUAGCAUUUAUUGGCCUUUAAUGUCUAACACAAUACAUUGCUGUGUUAAAUUGUUUACAGUUUUCAAAAAGCAUAUUCUUUCUCUCUCUCCAAACACACACACACACAUACACACAUCUACACACAUGCACACACACUUUAUUCCCUGACUACACUUUUCUCAUGAGCCACAAUUUUAAUGAAAAGUAGUUUUCUUCAAGCUGGAAAAUUGCUUAGAAAAUGCUAGUUGUCCGGUGAAUAUUUAGAGCGCACAUCGUUCAUUUUACCUAACUCUAUGUUAAGAACAUUAUAUUGGGAUACUUUUAUCCCUGUCCUUUAAAAUGUCAUUUCACCUCAUUGAGGAACAGAAAAACCCAUAUAACUUUCAAUUUCUCCUACAACUAUAGAAAAAUAACUUGUUUGCAUUAAUAUUAAUUUUAAUUAAUUAACUUGUUUGGAUUAAUAUUAACUUUUAGCAAAUAUCUAAUAGCUGCCAAUUUUUUAAUUGUUAGAGUAUACAAACAAAAUACAAUGAAAUAAUUAACCAUUAUUCUACUUAAGGUUUUGUAAUUAACUAUAAAUGGAUCAAUCUGGGCUUGAUUGUUAGGAGUAAAUUCACUCAUCUGCAAAAUGUACAUCCAUUAAUAAUCGCAAAAGAAAUCUGAGUAAAGUCUAGAUUCCUUCUAUUGGAAAUAAUUCUCCAGGAAGAAAAUAUGAUCAAAUGCUAGGGUGCUAGGGUUGGUAUUUUGUC
rnacentral:lncRNA from 10 species